rnacentral:rRNA from 1 species
GAGUAACGCGUGGGAAUCUGCCCUCAGGAGGGGGAUAACGGUUGGAAACGGCCGCUAAUACCCCAUAUGCCGAGAGGUGAAAUGAAUUUCGCCUGAGGAUGAGCCCGCGUCUGAUUAGCUAGCUGGUGAGGUAAUGGCUCACCAAGGCAUCGAUCAGUAGCUGGUCUGAGAGGAUGAUCAGCCACACUGGGACUGAGACACGGCCCAGACUCCUACGGGAGGCAGCAGUGGGGAAUUUUCCGCAAUGGGCGCAAGCCUGACGGAGCAACGCCGCGUGAGGGAUGAAGGCCUCUGGGCUGUAAACCUCUUUUCUCAAGGAAGAAGAUCUGACGGUACUUGAGGAAUAAGCCACGGCUAAUUCCGUGCCAGCAGCCGCGGUAAUACGGGAGUGGCAAGCGUUAUCCGGAAUUAUUGGGCGUAAAGCGUCCGCAGGCGGCUUUUCAAGUCUGCUGUUAAAGCGUGGAGCUUAACUCCAUCAAGGCAGUGGAAACUGAUUGGCUUGAGUGUGGUAGGGGCAGAGGGAAUUCCCGGUGUAGCGGUGAAAUGCGUAGAUAUCGGGAAGAACACCAGUGGCGAAGGCGCUCUGCUGGGCCAUAACUGACGCUCAUGGACGAAAGCCAGGGGAGCGAAAGGGAUUAGAUACCCCUGUAGUCCUGGCCGUAAACGAUGAACACUAGGUGUCGGGGGGAAUCGACCCCCUCGGUGUCGUAGCCAACGCGUUAAGUGUUCCGCCUGGGGAGUACGCACGCAAGUGUGAAACUCAAGGAAUUGACGGGGGCCCGCACAAGCGGUGGAGUAUGUGGUUUAAUUCGAUGCAACGCGAAGAACCCUUACCAGGUUUGACAUCCUGCGAAUCUC